UACGUAGGGUGCGAGCGUUAAUCGGAAUUACUGGGCGUAAAGCGUGCGUAGGCGGUUCUCCAAGUCCGUUGUGAAAGCCCCGGGCUCAACCUGGGAAUGGCAGUGGAAACUAGGGGACUGGAAUCUGGCAGAGGGGGGUGGAAUGCCGCGUGUAGCAGUGAAAUGCGUAGAGAUGCGGAGGAACACCGAUGGCGAAGGCAGCCCCCUGGGCUAGCACUGACGCUCAGGCACGAAAGCGUGGUGAGCAAACAGG
rnacentral:rRNA from 1 species